UCCCUGGUGUUUCAGUGGGUUAAGGAUCCAGCAUUGUCAUUGCUGUGGCUCAGGUUCAAUCCCUGGUCCAGGAA
rnacentral:tRNA from 1 species